GACGAACGUUGGCGGCGUGCUUAAUACAUGCCAGUCAACUGAAGCAGUGGUAGCAAUAUCGCUGUGGAGGUGGCGCACGGGUGAGUAACACGUAGGUAAUCUGCCUUCAGGUCUGGCAUAACUCCGGGAAACCGGGGCUAAUAGCAGAUGAUGCAGCGUCUCGACAUCGAGACAGUUGUUAAAGCUAUGGCGCCUGAAGAUGAGCCUGCGUCUGAUUAGCUAGUUGGCGGGGUAACGGCCCACCAAGGCAACGAUCAGUAGCUGGUCUGAGAGGAUGAUCAGCCACACUGGAACUGAGACACGGUCCAGACUCCUACGGGAGGCAGCAGUAAGGAAUAUUGCUCAAUGGGAGAAAUCCUGAAGCAGCAACGCCGCGUGAGGGACGAAGGGCUUUUGCUUGUAAAACUCUGUAGUGAGAGAAAAAAAUCCCAAUCUUUGGGACAUGAUGGUAUCUCAAAAGUAAGCCCCGGCUAACUACGUG
rnacentral:rRNA from 1 species